ACAUGAGUCACCUGGGGAUCUUGUUAAAAUGCAGAAUGCUUUAGUAGGUCUGGGUGAGACCUGAGGUUCUGCAUUUCUAACAAGCUCCCAGCUGAUGCUGGU
rnacentral:miRNA from 1 species